rnacentral:rRNA from 1 species
GACGAACGCUGGCGGCGUGCUUAACACAUGCAAGUCGAACGGAAAGGCCCUGCUUUUGUGGGGUGCUCGAGUGGCGAACGGGUGAGUAACACGUGAGUAACCUGCCCUUGACUUUGGGAUAACUUCGGGAAACUGGGGCUAAUACCGGAUAGGAGCUCCUGCUGCAUGGUGGGGGUUGGAAAGUUUCGGCGGUUGGGGAUGGACUCGCGGCUUAUCAGCUUGUUGGUGGGGUAGUGGCUUACCAAGGCUUUGACGGGUAGCCGGCCUGAGAGGGUGACCGGCCAAAUUGGGACUGAGAUAGGGCCCAGACUCCUACGGGGGGCAGCAGUGGGGAAUAUUGCACAAUGGGCGGAAGCCUGAUGCAGCAACGCCGCGUGCGGGAUGACGGCCUUCGGGUUGUAAACCGCUUUCGCAUGUGACGAAGCGUGAGUGACGGUAAUGGGUAAAGAAGCACCGGCUAACUACGUG